GACUUAAACACCUUAAAAGCACCAGAUCCUGUCUGACCUUGGAAGCUAAUCAGGGUCAGUUCUGAUUAGUACUUGGAUGGGCAACUGCCAAAUAAUACCAGAUGCUGAAGGCC
rnacentral:rRNA from 1 species